CCUACGGGUGGCAGCAGUGGGGAAUAUUGCGCAAUGGGCGAAAGCCUGACGCAGCGACGCCGCGUGAGGGAUGAAGGUCUUCGGAUCGUAAACCUCUGUCAGCAGGGAAGAACGGUCACUGUGCUAAUCAGCAGUGAAUUGACGGUACCUGCAAAGGAAGCACCGGCUAACUCCGUGCCAGCAGCCGCGGUAAUACGGAGGGUGCGAGCGUUAAUCGGAAUUACUGGGCGUAAAGCGCUCGUAGGCGGUAUGUCAAGUCAAGGGUGAAAUCCCCGCGCUCAACGUGGGAACUGCCGUUGAAACUGGCGUUCUUGAGUGGGCGAGAAGUAUGCGGAAUGCGUGGUGUAGCGGUGAAAUGCAUAGAUAUCACGCAGAACUCCGAUUGCGAAGGCAGCAUACCGGCGCCCUACUGACGCUGAGGCACGAAAGCGUGGGUAUCGAACAGGAUUAGAUACCCGAGUAGUC
rnacentral:rRNA from 1 species